CCUACGGGAGGCUGCAGUGGGGAAUAUUGGGCAAUGGGCGCAAGCCUGACCCAGCAACGCCGCGUGAAGGAAGAAGGCUCUCGGGUUGUAAACUUCUUUUCUGAGGGACGAAGAAAGUGACGGUACCUCAGGAAUAAGCCACGGCUAACUACGUGCCAUCAGCUGCGGCAAUACGUAGGUGGGAAGCGUUACCCGGAUUUAUUGGGUGUAAAGGGCGUGUAGGCGGGAAAGCAAGUCAGAUGUGAAAACUCAGGGCUCAACCCUGGGCCUGCAUUUGAAACUGUUGUUCUUGAGUGCUGGAGAGGCAAUCGGAAUGCCGUGUGUAGCGGUGAAAUGCGUAGAUAUACGGAGGAACACCAGUGGCGAAGGCGGAUUGCUGGACAGUAACUGACGCUGAGGCGCGAAAGCGUGGGGAGCGAACAGGAUUAGAUACCCGUGUAGUC
rnacentral:rRNA from 1 species